GUGCAUUCUUAAACACUCUUGGUAGCAUAAUGUGCUUCAAAGAUAUUAGUGAAUGCUAUAGAAAUAACAGGGGCGUCCAAAGGGCUGUGCUUCUCCUGUGGCUCAGUCUUAUUUCAUACCUGUGACAUCA